GACGAACGCUGGCGGCGUGCUUAACACAUGCAAGUCGAACGGAAAGGCCCUGCUUUUGUGGGGUGCUCGAGUGGCGCACGGGUGAGUAACACGUGAGUAACCUGCCCUUGACUUUGGGAUAACUUCAGGAAACUGGGGCUAAUACCGGAUAGGAGCUCCUGCUGCAUGGUGGGGGUUGGUAAGUUUCGGCGGUUGGGGAUGGACUCGCGGGUUAUCAGCUUGUUGGUGGGGUAGUUGCUGACCAAGGCUUUGACGGGUAGCCGGCCUGGGAGGGUGACCGGCCACAUGGGGACUGAGAUACGGCCCAGACUCCUACGGGAGGCAGCAGGGGGGAAUAUUGCACAAUGGGCGGAAGCCUGAUGCAGCAACGCCGCGUGCGGGAUGACGGCCUUCGGGUUGUAAACCGCUUUCGCCUGUGACGAAGCGUGAGUGACGGUAAUGGAUAAAGAAGCACCGGCUAACUACGUG
rnacentral:rRNA from 1 species